rnacentral:lncRNA from 1 species
AAAGCAUUGUAAGUGUUUCUAGUCUUCCCCCUCUGUGCCUCUGCUUCUUGUUUUUCAAUUCUCGUAAUGGCAAUUACCUCAUCACUUCUAAACAUGUUCCUGAAAUAAAUCUUACCCUAGAAAGGAAUCAGACACUCUCUGAAACUCUCAGUUUCUAUAAAUCUAAUAAAUAAAUUAAAAAUCUAUAAAUGAAAUAAAAAUAUAUAUAAUUACACUGUCUUUAUAUUUCAGAGUCUUCCGAUCUUCUCCUGCCUUGUCCGGUCUGUCAAAGCAGCUUUUCUCAAGGAUGUCAUAAGGUCUGCUUGCUCCCUGGUAUAACGAUUAAGUUAUUAGCAUGCUGCAGCAUAUCAGCUUAUGGGACAUGAAUAUUGGCCAGAAAUCACCAACUGUCUCCGAGCCUACGGAUUUCCCUGGACCUUGGCCUGUUUCCCUUCCCUGUGGACCCCGAGUGAGAGUGAGUUUAGACUGGAUUAGUGUGUAGAUUGUUGUGAGUCACAGACUAUGUGAAGAAGAGUUUGGACCUUCCCCUGGCUGCCCUGGACCCCUUUUCCUCCCCCAGCACUGUAUAACUGCCAGAGGAAAAAAGCUUUUAACCCUUUAACAAAGGCUUAAAGGGUUAAUGUAACAUUUCAAGGCCAAUAUUUUAAGUGAUUGUUGCAUUUAGAUUUCUCUUCAAAUAACUUUUGAACUAAGUGUCCAGAAAUAGCAGGACCUAGAGGAAUCAGUUUGCAUGUAGGCUGAUGAUGUCCUAUGGUAACAUCCUUAUACUAGCUGAAUCCUGGCUAGUUGUUGCAGAGCAGCCCUUUUAUAUCAUCUCAUAUACCACAGAAUGUAGUUGGCUUAAUGCACAGGGAGCAGUAACCUCAGAAGCAGCAUAGGCCAGCUACAUGACUUAUUACUAAAUGAGCAAAUUCCCCAUGAUGCACUGCUAUCUUAAGAACCUCGCUUUUGUGCCCUGCAUGUGUUGUUUGAAUUUCAGUAAUGCUACACUACCAUAAUUCAUUAAACCCAAGUAAGGAUCAUUUUUCUAUACAUGAUUUACCAUGCUGCAUCACACUGUCUCAAAUAAUGACUUGCUCAUUGUGUCUGUAAUCUUCUCAUAUUCUUUUGUUCACACAUGGAAUAAUUACGUAGAAUUUAACACUUCUUACUGAUUAAGAAAACAAAACAUGCACCACAUUUUUAUUAUUUUUUAUUUUUUUGCCAGACAUAAUUUUCUAAUGCAGCAAUUUAUUGGAAUGUGUAUAUGUAUAGCACGUGAUGCAAAAUAGAGUUUGUAUAGUUCUAAUGAACUCAAAGUCUUCUAGACAACUUGAACUCUCUUAGUUAUGCGUUCUUGUCAGUUCUUUGAGGAGUCUUCAGGAAUGGUUCUCCAGGCUUCUUGAAGAACGUUCAAAGUCCUCCUUUUGGAUGUUUCUGCCUUUUGUUCAGUUCUCUGUCAGGAUGAUCUCACACUGAUCCAAUAAUGUUGACGUCCUGACUCUGGGGAGGCCACUCCAUGAGUGUUUUUCUAUCCAGGCAUUGGCA